ensembl:snoRNA
ACCCUUUGGAUUCCUUGUCCCUCAGAUCUAAAUAUAGGUCUGAGUGGCUGAAAAAGAAGGAAAAGUAAAACUGAGUGGACUUGGAGUCUUUGAUAACUUACAAGUUCUUUUCAAACAUAG